rnacentral:rRNA from 1 species
AUUGAACGCUGGCGGCAGGCCUAACACAUGCAAGUCGAGCGGAGCGGCGGACGGGUGAGUAAUGCCUAGGAAUCUGCCUGGUAGUGGGGGAUAAAGUCCGGAAACGGGCGCUAAUACCGCAUACUAUCAGAUGAGUCUAGGUCGGAUUAGCUAGUUGGUGUGGUAAAGGCCUACCCAGGCGACGAUCCCUAACUGGUCUGAGAGGAUGAUAAGCCACACUGGAACUGAGACACGGUCCAGACUCCUACGGGAGGCAGCAGUGGGGAAUAUUGGACAAUGGGCGAAAGCCUGAUGCAGCAAUGCCGCGUGUGUGAAGAAGGCCUUCGGAUUGUAAAGCACUUUCAGUUGGGAGGCGUUACCAACAGAAUAAGCACCGGCUAACUUCGUGCCAGCAGCCGCGGUAAUAC